AACGCUGGCGGCAGGCCUAACACAUGCAAGUCGAGCGCCGUAGCAAUACGGAGCGGCAGACGGGAGAGUAACACGUGGGAACGUACCCUUUGGUUCGGAACAACCCAGGGAAACUUGGGCUAAUACCGGAUAAGCCCUUACGGGGAAAGAUUCAUCGCCGAAGGAUCGGCCCGCGUCUGAUUAGCUAGUUGGUGGGGUAAUGGCCCACCAAGGCGACGAUCAGUAGCUGGUCUGAGAGGAUGAUCAGCCUCACUGGGACUGAGACACGGCCCAGACUCCUACGGGAGGCAGCAGUGGGGAAUAUUGGACAAUGGGCGCAAGCCUGAUCCAGCCAUGCCGCGUGGGUGAUGAAGGCCCUAGGGUUGUAAAGCCCUUUCGGCGGGGAAGAUAAUGACGGUACCCGCAGAAGAAGCCCCGGCUAACUUCGUGCCAGCAGCCGCGGUAAUACGAAGGGGGCUAGCGUUGCUCGGAAUCACUGGGCGUAAAGCGCACGUAGGCGGAUUGUUAAGUCAGGGGUGAAAUCCUGGAGCUCAACUCCAGAACUGCCUUUGAUACUGGCGAUCUUGAGUCCGGGAGAGGUGAGUGGAACUGCGA
rnacentral:rRNA from 1 species